rnacentral:rRNA from 1 species
CCGUGGGUGAACCUGCGGAAGGAUCAUUA